rnacentral:rRNA from 2 species
GUACACAUGCAGUCGAGGGGUAGAGUUCUUCGGGACUUGAGACCGGCGCACGGGUGCGUAACGCGUAUGCAAUCUACCUUAUACAGGGGAAUAGCCCAGAGAAAUUUGGAUUAAUGCCCCAUAGUGUUAUCGAAUCGCAUGGUUUGAUAACUAAAGUUCCAACGGUAUAAGAUGAGCAUGCGUCCCAUUAGUUAGUUGGUAAGGUAACGGCUUACCAAGACAAUGAUGGGUAGGGGUCCUGAGAGGGAGAUCCCCCACACUGGUACUGAGACACGGACCAGACUCCUACGGGAGGCAGCAGUGAGGAAUAUUGGUCAAUGGGCGCAAGCCUGAACCAGCCAUGCCGCGUGCAGGAAGACGGUCCUAUGGAUUGUAAACUGCUUUUAUACAGGAAGAAACCCUCCCACGUGUGGGAGCUUGACGGUACUGUAGGAAUAAGGAUCGGCUAACUCCGUGCCAGCAGCCGCGGUAAUACGGAGGAUCCAAGCGUUAUCCGGAAUCAUUGGGUUUAAAGGGUCCGUAGGCGGCCUUAUAAGUCAGUGGUGAAAUCUCCUAGCUCAACUAGGAAACUGCCAUUGAUACUGUAAGGCUUGAAUUUUUGUGAAGUAACUAGAAUAUGUAGUGUAGCGGUGAAAUGCUUAGAUAUUACAUGGAAUACCAAUUGCGAAGGCAGGUUACUAACAAACGAUUGACGCUGAUGGACGAAAGCGUGGGGAGCGAACAGGAUUAGAUACCCUGGUAGUCCACGC